UAGCUAAUGCAAGUAAAUCAAAAACAAAGAAAUUGAGUUAUAUAGAAACAAGUGACGAUGAAGUCAGUUUUUCCAGUACACCAUUUCCAAAAUUAGACGAUGAUGGUUCUUCUUGUGUAUACUCAUACAACAAUUCAGCAACAAUUAGUUCCAGUGAAGGGUUAACUUGUGAAAAAAUAGUUAAUAAAGAAAUUGGUAAAAGUGCUGGUGAAACAGAUAAAGACUAUAUUUCUGAUCAGACUUUUAAACGAACAAU